rnacentral:tRNA from 1 species
GGCUCACCUAGCAAGUGAAUAAAAGCAUUGGAUUGUCGAACCUACACGCGCGCUCGU